GAUGAACGCUGGCGGCGUGCCUAACACAUGCAAGUCGAGCGAACCCUUCGGGGUGAGCGGCGGACGGGUGAGUAACGCGUGGGUAACCUGCCCUAUACACACGGAUAACGUACCGAAAGGUACGCUAAUACGGGAUAAAGUUGUUGGAUGGCAUCUUCUAACAAUCAAAGCUCCGGCGGUGUAGGAUGGACCCGCGUCUGAUUAGCUAGUUGGUGAGGUAAUGGCUCACCAAGGCGACGAUCAGUAGCCGACCUGAGAGGGUGAUCGGCCACACUGGAACUGAGACACGGUCCAGACUCCUACGGGAGGCAGCAGUGGGGAAUAUUGCACAAUGGGCGAAAGCCUGAUGCAGCAACGCCGCGUGAGCGAUGAAGGUCUUCGGAUUGUAAAGCUCUUUUGCCAGGGACGAUAAUGACGGUACCUGGAGAAUAAGCCCCGGCAAACUUCGUGCCAGCAGCCGCCGUAA
rnacentral:rRNA from 1 species